CUCGGGGUGUGAGCCGCGCGUCGGGGGCCUCGAAUCGGAAGGGAGACGUCGCUCGCUGAUUGGUCCCGCCUCCCCCGUAGAGCUUUCUCCAGUGUUCGGGCGAUGUUCUUAGGCCCCAACCUCGCACAUCAGCGAUACAAGGCCCUAAGCUGCUGGCUGCCCAAAGCUGGUGGAUGGGUAUCCACACUCCGGUAAUCUUGUGGCUUUUACCCUAUGGACACUCAAGCGUCUUCCGGAAACAUUGAGCCCAACUAAUCACAUCAGAUUGUAAAUUCCUGAAGGACAAGGACAGCAUCUUGUUCCCAGCUGUCUUCCCACACUCUAAGAUAAAAAAUACUAAGUAACUGAAGAAAGGUGAAAUACAGCAUCAGGACAGCAGAAACAUGCUCUGUGUGGGUCAGGGGUCUGUGGGCGUUCUACAUAGCUUUGCCCCAUCUGUUCAGUUGUCCUCCAUACAACUGUUGAGUAGGUUGUCAGCAUCCAGUCUCUAUAUUCGCUCAUCCUGAUGGAACCAAAUUGCAGUGAGCAUUACUGCACCUUAAAGAAAGAUCCGAUUAUUUGCAACUAAAAGGACACCUAUUAAAUGAGAUAACCUAAGUAAAAAUUGUAAGGAAUAGAUGUGUGGGGUUAUUUUUGUUGCAAAUGAUAAUGAGGAAAUCCAACACCAGCUGGAUUUUUAUCUCAAUAUAGUGAAAUGUCAUGUUUUAAAUGAACUUAUGUUGAAGAUGUGUAUACCUGCCUCUAUGCGGUCCAUAUUGACAUGCUAGUUUUUAUUAAAAAUAAAAAAAAAAAAUUUUAACAUCUGAUGGGAAAUGCGGGAGACAAGUAUAAAGUAUGUACAAGAACAAAGAAUUAAAUUUGACAUUUAGCUGGUAUCUGUGAUGUGCCUAUCGUAAAAGCAUGUUGGAAAAUUCUCAUUUCAUGGCCAGAAUCUCUCAAGAGAAAAAGACAUACCAUGUAGGGUUUUUGAGAUUUAAAGAGAGAAAGGAAUUGAGAAGUUGGCUCUGGUUGAGAAAAACAGGUAGUGAAAACUAAAGUUAUAUAUCUCAUCAUUCUCCAGGCAUCUGAUAAUUAAUAUUAUAUUUCUUAUCUAUACAUUUAAAAGCAUAAAUAAUCAUUGGAUUAAUUAGUUAUUGGGAUAGCUAAUCCAAUGAUUGCUGAACUAUUACUUGGUAAAUUAUAAUACAAUUUUAAUGCAAUGAGCACACCCAUAAAGCAUUUAAGUAUUAUUUGAGAUCUACAUAUUUGGGGAAAAAAUAGACAAAGGCCCAUCCAUGUCUAAACGCUGAAAGAACAAUGUACAAAUUAUUUGAAGUUCUAUUGUAAAGAGGGAUAAUUUGGUAGUCAUAUGUCAACAAUAGGGCCUUAUGCCUUGAUUAUAAUUGUCUGUGUGUGACAAUAUUGACUGAGCCAGGCUGCUGCUAGGCAGGAUUAGUGUAUGAAGGUAUAAUGCUCUUGGAAAAUUUCAAGCAUGUUAGCAUAAUUGCUCUGAUGAAAAAUGAAGAACUUAUUUAACAUAACUGACUAGAGUAGACAAUAGAUGCAUAAUCAGUGUCCAAAUGAUUGAAUUAAUGAGCCCCAGUUGUUUGUCCUUACUGUAAACAGUCCUCAACUAUGAAAAAGACAUUUUGCUGAAGGAGUCUGACAACUGUGUUAGCUGAUGAGUGGCCAGAAUAUCAUUAAUGGUGGGAAAGAACCAACUACUAUUGGGUCCUAAAGAUAUCAAUGGUGGAUUUCAAGGAGUAAAUUAUUUAGCUACAUAGAAGUUUCAUAUCAGCUCCUCCUUGCCUUCAUACAAUCAUGGAGCCUGAUCAAAGCUCUUAUGCUUAGAUAAAGAAACCAAGGCCCAAACUUCUUCAAAAUCCUAUGGCCGCUUAGUGCCAGAAAUUAUACAUGGCAUCUACCUUUCCUGCUCCGACACUCCACUCAUUCUUUUCCCCUGGCCCUGGUCUGUACCCUCACCCAUGCCUUCGCUACUCUCCCCAACCUCCCUGUUUCCAUUACCUUCUGUGCCCAUAUCCUGACCAACUAUUUCACAGCGAAAAUAGAGACAAAUUUCCUGUCCACACCUAAACCCCUAGCACUAGACAAUAUGUCUGUCUCCAGAUUUAUGCUUCCCUCCACUUCCUGCUCCUCCUUCUGGAAAAGGCUUUCCCUUCUACCUAUUCUCUGUUCCCUUGACCACCUACUCUAGGUUAGCGCACCACACACACCCCCAAACACUCACACCUGCCACACUAUCACAUCACCUAAUUAAAUUUCUCUUCAAAACUCUUCUCACAUAGGG